rnacentral:rRNA from 3 species
GACAGCCAGGAUGUUGGCUUAGAAGCAGCCAUCAUUUAAAGAAAGCGUAAUAGCUCACUGGUCGAGUCGGCCUGCGCGGAAGAUGUAACGGGGCUAAACCAUGCACCGAAGCUGCGGCAGCGACACUAUGUGUUGUUGGGUAGGGGAGCGUUCUGUAAGCCGUUGAAGGUGUGCUGUGAGGCAUGCUGGAGGUAUCAGAAGUGCGAAUGCUGACAUAAGUAACGAUAAAGCGGGUGAAAAGCCCGCUCGCCGG